rnacentral:rRNA from 1 species
AACGAACGCUGGCGGCAGGCCUAACACAUGCAAGUCGAACGCAUCGCAAGAUGAGUGGCGCACGGGUGAGUAACACGUGGGAAUGUAUCCUUUGGUUCGGAAUAACGUCUGGAAACGGACGCUAAUACCGGAUGAGCCCUUAGGGGGAAAGAUUUAUCGCCGAAGGAGCAGCCCGCGUCUGAUUAGGUAGUUGGUGGGGUAAAGGCCUACCAAGCCGACGAUCAGUAGCUGGUCUGAGAGGAUGAUCAGCCACACUGGGACUGAGACACGGCCCAGACUCCUACGGGAGGCAGCAGUGGGGAAUAUUGGACAAUGGGCGCAAGCCUGAUCCAGCCAUGCCGCGUGAGUGAUGAAGGCCUUCGGGUUGUAAAGCUCUUUCGCACACGACGAUGAUGACGGUAGUGUGAGAAGAAGCCCCGGCUAACUUCGUGCCAGCAGCCGCCGUAAGAC